rnacentral:ncRNA from 1 species
CUAGUCUUGGCCGGUCGUUGCUAUUUCAACGACCGGUUUUGACAGACCGCCAU